CUUCUUCCUUGACACUGCCACCUUAGCGCAACUACAGGACUGCCAGAUAGGAGACAUCACCUGGCCGGACCACAGUCCGGUACACCUCCAACUGCACAAUACAUUUCAGUUCAGAGGCCGGGGGCAGUGGCGGCUUAACAAAUCCCUUCUAGUAGACGAGACCUUCUGGGAUCUAGUCCGCACCAAGCUAACAGAAUACUUUCAAACGAACGGGUCAGGG